GUACACGCUGUGACUAGCAUAUCAAUAAGCGGAGGAAAAGUACUACCUACGCUUAGGAUGUUGACGAGACUGUCGAUCUCAUCUAUACAUGACUCUGUGCAUAUCAAUAAGCGGAGGAAAAGAAACUAACAAGGAUUCCCCUAGUAACGGCGAGUGAAGCGGGAAGAGCUCAAAUUUGAAAUCUUAAAGGGUUUCCCUUUACGAAUUGUAGUUUAAAGAAGUGUUUUCUGUUGAGGUUUUGGUAAAGUUCUUUGGAAUAGGACAUCAUAGAGGGUGAGAAUCCCGUAUUUGACCUUUACUUUCAACUUUGUGAUACACUUUCAAAGAGUCGGAUUGUUUGGGAAUGCAGUCCAAAAUGGGUGGUAAAUUUCAUCUAAAGCUAAAUAUUGGCGAGAGACCGAUAGCGAACAAGUACCGUGAGGGAAAGAUGAAAAGAACUUUGAAAAGAGAGUUAAACAGUACGUGAAAUUGUCAAAAGGGAAGCGUUUGACACCAGUGUUGUUUUUCUGAAAAUCAAUUAAAGAACUGUUUAUGCUAAGUUGUUUAGACUUUAUCAGCUAACUGUUUAGUUUUGAGCUUUUCUUUAAUGCACUUUUCAGUUAACAAGUCAACAUCAAUUUCUUUUGCUGUAAAAAAGCUUGAGGAAGGUGGCUUGAGAUUCGUCUUAAGUGUUUAUAGCCUCUUGCCUAUGCAGUCGGAGAGAUUGAGGUCUGCAGCGUAGAUCCUUCGGGGCUAAAUGCAUUUGUGCUAAGUUAUAGCAUUUCAUAGACAACCUGUUGACUAUGAUUUGUCUUGUAGCUUACUCGCUUAUGUUAUUUUACCUACGCUUAGGAUGUUGACGAGACUGUCGAUCUC
rnacentral:rRNA from 1 species